UGCUGAUACCCAGAGUCGAACUGGGGACCUCAUCCUUACCAAGGAUGCGCUCUACCAACUGAGCCAUAUCAGC
rnacentral:tRNA from 1 species